rnacentral:rRNA from 1 species
UACGAAGGGGGCGAGCGUUGUUCGGAUUUACUGGGCGUAAAGGGCGCGCAGGCGGCUCUUUAAGUCAGGGGUGAAAUCCCGAGGCUCAACCUCGGAACUGCCUUUGAUACUGGGGAUCUCGAGUCCGGGAGAGGUGAGUGGAACUGCGAGUGUAGAGGUGAAAUUCGUAGAUAUUCGCAAGAACACCAGUGGCGAAGGCGGCUCACUGGCCCGGAACUGACGCUGAGGUGCGAAAGCGUGGGGAGCAAACAGG